rnacentral:rRNA from 1 species
UACAGAGGUGGCAAGCGUUGUUCGGAAUUACUGGGCGUAAAGGGCGCGUAGGCGGUUCGUUAAGUCCUGUGUGAAAUCCCCCGGCUCAACUGGGGAACUGCACAGGAAACUAGCGGGCUUGAGUUCGGGAGAGGGAAGCGGAAUUCCGGGUGUAGCGGUGAAAUGCGUAGAGAUGGGGGAGAACACUCGUGGCGGAAGGCGGCCAGCUAGACCAGUUCUGACACUGAGGCGCGACAGCGUGGGGAGCAAACAGG